GGGGAAGUCACUCUUGUCUACAUGGUACAGACAGCAUGAGACAGUGUGUCCUCCCUUG
rnacentral:pre_miRNA from 1 species